rnacentral:rRNA from 1 species
UACGAAGGGGGCUAGCGUUGUUCGGAAUCACUGGGCGUAAAGGGCGCGUAGGCGGCUUUGUAAGUCGGGGGUGAAAGCCUGUGGCUCAACCACAGAAUUGCCUUCGAUACUGUUUGGCUUGAGACCGGAAGAGGUAAGUGGAACUGCGAGUGUAGAGGUGAAAUUCGUAGAUAUUCGCAAGAACACCAGUGGCGAAGGCGGCUUACUGGUCCGGUUCUGACGCUGAGGCGCGAAAGCGUGGGGAGCAAACAGG